rnacentral:rRNA from 1 species
AUACGUAGGGUGCGAGCGUUGUCCGGAAUUACUGGGCGUAAAGAGCUCGUAGGUGGUUUGUCGCGUCGUCUGUGAAAUUCCGGGGCUUAACUCCGGGCGUGCAGGCGAUACGGGCAUAACUUGAGUACUGUAGGGGAGACUGGAAUUCCUGGUGUAGCGGUGAAAUGCGCAGAAAUCAGGAGGAACACCGGUGGCGAAGGCGUGUCUCUGGGCAGUAACUGACGCUGAGGAGCGAAAGCAUGGGUAGCGAACAGGAUUAGAUACCCUGGUAGUCCAUGCCGUAAACGGUGGGCGCUAGGUGUAGGGGUCUUCCACGACUUCUGUGCCGUAGCUAACGCAUUAAGCGCCCCGCCUGGGGAGUACGGCCGCAAGGCUAAAACUCAAAUGAAUUGACGGGG